UACGUAGGGUGCGAGCGUUGUCCGGAAUUAUUGGGCGUAAAGAGCUCGUAGGCGGUGUGUCACGUCGGCCGUGAAAGCCCAUGGCUUAACUGUGGGUCUGCGGUGGAUACGGGCAGGCUGGAGGCUGGUAGGGGCAAGCGGAAUUCCUGGUGUAGCGGUGAAAUGCGCAGAUAUCAGGAGGAACACCGGUGGCGAAGGCGGAUCUCUGGGCCUUACCUGACGCUGGAGGCGCGAAAGCUAGGGGAGCAAACAGG
rnacentral:rRNA from 1 species